CCAAUAGCGUAUAUUAAAGUUGUUGCAGUUAAAAAGCUCGUAGUUGAACUUCAGGCCUGGCUGGACGGUCCGCCUUCCGGGCGAGUACUGUCUGUGGUCGGGUCCUACCUUCUGGCGAAGCGUCAUGGCCUUAACCGGCUGUGGCGGGGAACCAGGACUUUUACUGUGAAAAAAUUAGAGUGUUCAAAGCAGGCAAUUCGCUUGGAUACAUUAGCAUGGAAUAAUGGAAUAGGACAAUGGUUCUAUUUGUUGGUUUCUAGGACUGUUGUAAUGAUUAAUAGGGAUAGUUGGGGGCAUUAGUAUUCAAUUGUCAGAGGUGAAAUUCUUGGAUUUAUUGAAGACUAACUACUGCGAAAGCAUUUGCCAAGGAUGUUUUCAUUAAUCAAGAACGAAAGUUAGGGGAUCGAAGACGAUCAGAUACCGUCGUAGUCUUAACCAUAAACUAUGCCGACUAGGAAUCGGGCGAUGUUGAAAAAAUGACGCGCUCGGCACCUCAUG
rnacentral:rRNA from 1 species